rnacentral:misc_RNA from 1 species
CCCAAAACGUAGAGACAUUUUCUUUGCCCGAUUUGGGAAACCUAAAUUUAGUUUUCGCAGUUCAGACACAGAGAGAAGAAAAAGAUGCACGAUUUCUGCUUCACGAUCCCUUACGGUCUAAUUCUGGUGGUAGGAGGACUGGUUGGGUAUGUCAAGAGAGGGAGCGUGGCGUCGUUGGGUGGGGGAGUGGGCACUGGUUUGGUUCUCGUCUUAGCUGGAUAUUUGAGUCUCAAGGCUUUUGGGAGGCGAAUGAACUCUUACCUUGCUUUGGUCAUCGAAACUGUUUGUGCAGCAGCACUGACGUUCAUCAUGGGACAGCGUUAUGUGCAAACCUCUAAGAUUAUGCCUGCUGCUAUUAUUGCUGGGAUAAGUGCUCUUAUGACAGGGUUUUAUGUGUACAAAAUUGCAACUAGUGGCAACCACAUUCCAGCCAAGGCAGAGUGAUGGCAUGGAGGAUUUUGUAUACCGCUAAUUUCAACAGCUGUAUUGAGAUAUAGAAACUCUGAUGUUUGUAUUUGGAAGCUUUUAAUUUCUUGGACAAAUUUUACCAGCGUGUUAUGCCCUUACUAGUUCUGUAUGAAGAAACAAAUUGCAUGUCAUUUUAAGUGAAAGAAAUAGUAAACCUGUUUCUUAAAA